rnacentral:ncRNA from 1 species
UCCCCGCUUCCCUCCCUGAGCGGGUGGAUGGCUCAGACUCCCCCAAGUUGAGCCUUUAUUGAGCCCCGGCGCCAGCCGGGGCUUUUUUUU